UACGGGGGGAGCAAGCGUUGUUCGGAUUUACUGGGCGUAAAGGGCGCGUAGGCGGCUUGGCAAGUGGAAGGUGAAAUCCCUCGGCUUAACCGAGGAACUGCCCUCCAAACUGCUUUGCUUGAGGCCGGGAGAGGUAAGUGGAAUUCCCAGUGUAGCGGUGAAAUGCGUAGAUAUUGGGAGGAACACCAGUGGCGAAGGCGGCUUACUGGGACCGGUUCUGACGCUGAGGCGCGAAAGCGUGGGGAGCAAACGGG
rnacentral:rRNA from 1 species